GAUGAAGAACGCAGCGAAAUGCGAUAAGUAGUGUGAAUUGCAGAAUUCAGUGAAUCAUCGAAUCUUUGAACGCACAUUGCGCCCCUUGGUAUUCCAUGGGGCAUGCCUGUUCGAGCGUCAUUUGUACCUUCAAGCUUUGCUUGGUGUUGGGUGUUUGUCCAUUCUCUUGCAGAGGGACUCGCCUUAAAGUAAUUGGCAGCCAGUGUUUUGGUUUUGAAGCGCAGCACAAGUCGCGAUUCAAAGCUAUACGCCCGUUUCCACAAGCCUUUUUCACUUUUGACCUCGGAUCAGGUAGGGAUACCCGCUGAACUUAAGCAUAUCAAUAAGCGGAGGA
rnacentral:misc_RNA from 1 species